ensembl:lncRNA
UCAAGGAGCCCACCAGGGGCCCCAGUCACCUCAAGGACCCCACAUCCAAGCCCUCUGAGAGGGAGAGAGAAGCACCUCCGCUCCCCCUCUGCUGGUUCCUCCUCCUAUCCCUCCUCGGACAACAUCAUGGUACCUCGCCAGCCCCUCCCCUGAACUACAACUACACAUCCCAGAAUCCCUCAGUGGCUCAGGCAGGAAGUGCCACAGCCCCUGUCUCCUGUUAGACAGGAAGUGCAGCAGCAGCCCAUCGAUAGUGAGGAAGUUCGAGGCGAUGCUGCAGGAGAACGAGGGGAAAGUUCUGACGGAGGCGGGGUUUACCACCUGCGCUGUUCCCUUUAACUCCCACUGCAACGUGGGCUGUUGCCACAACCGCUGGUCCUGUGACGGGAGCCGCUUCGGCAGCAGCAAGUCGUCCACCUACGUGCCUGUCCAGAAGAGCCUGUCUGAAGUCAACAUAGUGAGUGCUGCUGAGAAGGACUUGAUCCACGACUACAGGCCCGUUGAGAAACCUAGAAGUCCUAGAAGCCCUGAGAGAGAGAGUCAUAUACAACCUGGAAACAAAGACCUAGCAGUUUCACACAUCUGUCUUGACCUUACCUUAGAGUUACCCCCUCCAGGCUCCAACCCUCCAGGCUCCAACCCUCCAGGCUCCAACCCUCCAGGCUCCAACCCUCCAGGCUCCAACCCUCCAGACUCCAACCCUCCAGGCUCCAACCCUCCAGGCCACAGUAGGAAUAUGAUGCUGGAACAGGCCACUGCUGAGUUUAACAGGACACUCUUCCAAGCUGAGAUGGGUCGAGGGAUGGAGGACGAUGAUGUAGAGGACAGUUUUACAUCAGCGGGUGUCUCUAAAAGGGGCGUACCAGACGGUACGACGGUAUGUGGUGAGGUCACACACGGGGUCACCAGGGAGACGAACAUUGACCUCCCGCCACGGCACGCCACAGAGGUCAGACAGAAGGAGGUGAUCUGUGACAUCACAGCUCAGAAGCUGAGUUCAGGGAUCAAACUGAGCCAGGCCCUGCCCCCAUCUGACCCUCAUCCAGGGGUCACCGUCAGGACCUUUGACCCCCCUGCCACCUCUGACCUUUCACCCCAACGCCCAGAAGUUGCGUUUAGGAACAUGCCUUCUAACCCGGCAACACGCUGCCCUGAGGUCAAACACAAAGCUGGACCCCCAACAGCCUGUUUAAGUCCACACUGCACAGGUCCAUCUCUAGUGAAUACAAGCAGCCUGCCCAGACUCACACACGGCUCCAGGACCAGAGGUGAGUGCCAGUCCGAAGAGGGACAUCAAGGCCCAAGGAGCGAGGCCUCAUUCCGUUAAGUCAUGCCCAGCGCCCCAGCGACCUGGGAGUCGCCCAACCACAACACAGGACAUCCUUAAAGCUGGAUCUGUGGGGUCAGGACUCUGUGUGCCUGGGGGGUCGGGACUCCGUGUGCCUGGGGGGUCAGGACUCCGUGGUGUAAUGAGCGACCAGCCCUGGAAGCCCCUGACUCUGGCUGCGUUACGUCCAUCUGACUCCAGGUCUAAUUACGGCGCUGUGGAGAGGAUCCUGAAGAGCUACGAGAACACUGCCUGGAGCCAGCGGUACCAGAACCAUACCCAACCCACUGAGUCCAGCCCUAACCCUGGACCCAGCCUCAGCCCUAACCCUGGUCUCAGCCCCAGCCCUAACCCUGGUCUCAACCCCAGUCCUAACCCUGGUCUCAACCCCAGUCCUAACCCUGGUCUCAACCCCAGUCCUAACCCUGGUCUCAGCCCCCGUCCUAACCCUGGUCUCAGCCCCCGUCCUAACCCUGGUCUCAGCCCCCGUCCUAACCCUGGUCUCAGCCCCAGUCCUAACCCUGGUCUCAGCCCCAGUCCUAACCCUGGUCUCAGCCCCAGCCCUAACCCUGGUCUCAACCCCGUCUCAGCCCCAGCCCUAACCCUGGUCUCAACCCCGUCUCAGCCCCAGUCCUAACCCUGGUCUCAGCCCCAGUCCUAACCCUGGUCUCAGCCCCAGCCCUAACCCUGGUCUCAGCCCCAGCCCUAACCCUGGUCUCAGCCCCCGUCUCAGCCCCAGCCCUAACCCUGGUCCCAGCCCCAGACAGGAAGAGGAACUCAUGGAUCUUCUGGAGGAGAUGAUGGAUAAGGAUUACUGGGAUCAGUCAGGCCCUGCCUCUGGACACUCCUCCCACACACACUCUCACCACAGCCAGCUGACCAGCUCCCACAGAGAGACAAGGCUAACCAUGCAGGAGUGUAAAGUAUCAUCCAGCUCCUCAUCAGUCCAGAAGAAUUUCUCUCGUCCGGCCUGUCCAGCCAACCGCCGCCCCCCGUCACGCUGGGCUAGUUGUUCCCCCUCCACCUCUUCCUCCUCCUCCUCCUCCUCCUCCACCCCUAUAAACCAGCCCUCUUCCGGCUCCGCCCACAAACACACCUCAUUCUCCUACUCAGCCUAUCACACGGAGACAGUCAUCAUCUGACCCCUUAGCUGACCCUGUGUUUCAACCAAUAAGAUGCCUUUCGUUACUAUACGUACUCUGACAUUUCUUUUCUCAAUUCAUCCUUCCUUGAUUCCUUCACAUCGAAGGACCGAGUCGGGGGGUGGGGACGGGGG